rnacentral:lncRNA from 1 species
AUUGACAAGGUACCUCGAACUAUUUCAAAGGUGUCAUGUAGGUCUUCAAACUUAGGAAAGUGUCAUCUAGAUCCUCAAAGUCCUUGAAGUGUAAUAAGUGUGUAUAUAUGUGACACCUCUGAAAUAGUUCAAGGACCUACAUGAUACCUUUGAAAUACUUUGAGGACCAGGAUGACACACAUAUUACACUUUGAGGAUCUGGAUGACGAUUUUCAUAGUUCGAAGACCUACAUGACACCUUUGAAAUAGUUUGAGGACCUAUGAUGCACUUCACUCGAAUUGAAUAAUCCUUCCUUUCCUUGUUUGGUUUUGGCACAGUAGUUUCUCUUGCCGGUGUUUUUAACCCAAUUACACAUCCACCAGUACACAUAUGAUUUGACAAGCAAACGUAGCUAGGUUGACAAUGAUCGUUGAUCUAUGUAUGACUACAUUGAAGCACAGGUACAAACGCCAUGUCCUUUUGUCAUGAGAUGUGAUUGUGAUUUGGUUUGCUCCAAUCUCCUAUGCUCAACAUAAUAUGAGCACCUGUUAUCCAUGGGCAUACCACACGAGCUUGUUCCUGACAGUUUCGUCUUCAAGCUGGGAUGGCUAACUAGACAGUUUCGUGUUCAAGGGAUGGUGAGUUAAUAGAACAGCCAACUAUAUACUCCCUCGACAAGAAUUUUGGGACGAAGGGAGUACUUAUAUACGAGGGGAAUGGCUAGUCAGCUGGCUAGGUCAUGCAUGUCUCUUGCUUUUUUGCCUGUCAUGCAUGUCAUUGGUCUAUCAUUUUUUUUCCUUAGUGCACUUUUGAAUUAGUCUCUAGUAAAUGAAAUGAGCACGUGGCUGGCCCGCACGUACAACAUACAUACAACACACACGAAUGCGUAUACACCAUCAAAGGAAACAGUCCAAUGGUUUGAUGGUUAGGUCGGCUGCUGCUCCCACCGGACCGGCAUCGCUGCAACACUGGUGACCUCCUACAGCAUCGGCUGCAACACUGGCCACAACAACCCAAUUGGAAACCACCGGCACCCCUCGUAGCAUGGCGGACGCCGAUCGGGGUCGUCGCGACAUCACCGGUUCCCAUGUUUGCGGGGUGUAGCACCUCAGGUGGCAAGCUUGCAGCCGCAAUCCGUGGCAGCACCCUCGCACGCUACAUGCUGUAGCUACACCAUUCUCACAGAAGUGCACGCGGAUGUCCCUGCAUCACUGUUGAAUGCCCUUUAAGCACUCGUGCCUAGGCUGUAGCAGCGUUGUGAGAGAGUGACGACUGGGCUUGCAACAUCGGGGCAGACCUUCUAGCCGGUGGUUGUGCAUCAACAAUUUUGUGUCUCCCUGCUGGCCAUGGUCACAACAUCUUGUGGCGAGUGCAAGGAAGGCUUGUUGCAUCAGUGCCCGACCUUGCAAAAGAUGGUGUCUAUCGGUGCAUGUUCGACUACAGCAUCAACGUCUCGCUCGCCGUGGCGACGUCACCAUCUCCGUCCAAGCCUCGGGAGAAGCUUAUAGAAGCCUCAGGAGAAGCUUAUAGAAGCUAGGGCAAGAAACAAGUGCCUCUUGUUUCUCCAGUAACUGCCAUCUAUCACGCUCUGGUUGCUCCCUCUGGAUUUUUAUUUUAAUUUUUCUGCACGCGUUUUCGGCCUUUUAGAUGUCUUUUUUCUUUUUUUGUUUUGUUUUGAUUUUUCAUUGGUCUNNNNNNNNNNNNNNNNNNNNNNNNNNNNNNNNNNNNNNNNNNNNNNNNNNNNNNNNNNNNNNNNNNNNNNNNNNNNNNNNNNNNNNNNNNNNNNNNNNNNGAUUUUGGGAAAGUUUCCAAAAUGCUAUGGGAACUCGUCUCUCCUUUAGCACCGCUUUCCACCCUCAGUCGAGUGGUCAAGUGGAACGCGUCAACCAGAUUCUAGAAGACAUGCUUCGAGCCUCUGUUAUCUCUUUCGGAAUGGACUGGGAGAAGUGCCUUCCAUUUGCCGAAUUCGCUUACAACAACAGCUAUCAAUCUAGCUUGGGUAAAGCCCCUUUUGAAGUUCUCUAUGGACGACGGUGUCGAACACCCCUUAACUGGUCAGAGACCGGGGAAAGACAAUUCUUUGGCCCGGAUAUGAUUCAGGAAGCAGAAGAACAAGUUCGUAUCGUUCGUGAAAAGUUGAAAACAGCCCAAUCCCGUCAAAAGAGUCAAUAUGACCGAAAGCAUAAGGCUAUGACUUUCGAGGUUGACGAGAAGGCUUAUCUUCGGGUCACCCCUCUGGAGGGAACCCAUCGUUUCGGUAUCAAAGGCAAAUUGGCUCCUCGUUACAUUGGACCUUUUCGCAUUCUCGCCAAACGAGGAGAAGUUGCCUACCAGUUGGAACUACCUCCGCACCUCUCCAGAGUCCAUGAUGUCUUCCACGUUUCUCAACUCAGGCGUUGCUUCUCGGACCCUAUCCGUGAAGUGGACCACGAAACGCUUGAUCUUCAAGAUAAUCUUACAUAUCGAGAGUACCCCGUUCGUAUCCUCGAUCAGGCCGAACGUAUCACCCGACGUCAGAACAUCAAGUUCCUCAAAGUACAAUGGUUGCACCAUUCUGAGGAUGAAGCAACUUGGGAAAGGGAGGAUCGUCUUCGACUCGAGUAUCCCGCCUUCUUCCCGGAGGAACCCAAAUCUCGGGACGAGAUUCUUUUGAGUGGGGGUGAGUUGUCACACCCUAGCUAGUCAUGCAUCAGAGUGUGUGCAUCAUGUUUAAAAUUCCAUUUAAUUUGAAAUGGGGAAUUGUGAAACCCUCAGAAUCAUUUUGAAAAUGACCCAAAUAAAAAUUUCUCCAAAAGGGUCCAAGAAAAUGCUCAUGUUGCUCUCUGAAAAUAUUGGACAGAGAUAAUAAUCAAACCAAUAUUUUUGAGAGCUCAUAGGUAUUUAUUUUGGGCAUUUGGAAUUAAUGCAUAAAUAUUUGCUUUGGAAAUAUAUUAAUUAUAUAUAUUAAUAUAUGUCCAAAUAUUAUGCCAUUUAUAAAGGAGCUCUGAAAUAAUAUAUCUAGCCCCUGCAAAAAUUGGCAUAAGGAAAUAAAAUGAUUUAAUAUUUUAUUUAAAUCAAAACAAAUGUCAGAAAUUAGAAAACAGAAAUAAAUAACAGGAGGAGCUUACCUGGGCUCCUCCACUGUGCGGCCCAGCCAGCUGGCUGGUCCAGCCAGCAGCCGGCCCAGCCCACCUCCCUCCUCUGUCGUCUUCGUCCCGACAGAGGGAGGGGAGUGUGGCCGGCGCGCGCGCGCGCCACCGCGCCACGCCACCUCUCUCCCUGCUUGCCUGCCCUCCCCUCCUCGCUCGAUGCCCCGGACGACGCCACGCCUCCCCCCCUGCUCUCUCUCACUCUCCCUCAGUUCCUCCCUCCUCCCCUCGCUCUCUCUCUCACACGGCCGAACACCCCCGUCGCCGCCGUUCGCCAUAGCAGCCGUCUCCGGCCACCCCUCGCUUCCCCGACUAGCUCAGAAGCUCCGCCACGACCCCCUCUUCCUCCCCACCGCUCCACGGUCCUCCAGAAGCCCUGCAUCGCCGCCACGUCGCCGUUCCCCUCCUCGGGCUCCGACCACCGUCGCCGUCGAUUCGCCGUCUCCAGCGCGUCCCCGAGCCCGCUUCGACGCCCACUGCAACCGCGGUGAGCUACGCCACCGUUUNNNNNNNNNNNNNNNNNNNNNNNNNNNNNNNNNNNNNNNNNNNNNNNNNNNNNNNNNNNNNNNNNNNNNNNNNNNNNNNNNNNNNNNNNNNNNNNNNNNNGUUUAUCUCGUGUGCGAGGCCUUCCUCUGCAUCCAGCCCCACUUCGGCUUGUGGCUCAAGACCUUCAAUGUCAAGCCGAAGGUAGUGAAGGGCACUCAAGCGGAGUGCGGAGGCGCCAUGUUGGGCAAGAUGCCCAACGUCCUUUGGUUCAAAGGGGCCUUCGUGGAAUCCGUCAAGGGGUGGCAAUCGGGGUGGUUCUAUAUCACCGAGCCGCGCAACCCUACGUGGGCGGCGGCCCCCGAGUUCAGAUCUGGUAUCCCCACGCAGCUCACCUCCUGGAAAGAGAAGGGCUUGCUGUGGGGUAGUUCGGAGGAGCUGACGGGACUCCAAGCCUGUAUCCAGAAGCUGGUGAAGAAGCUCAGGCUGGUUAACAUGGUCCAAGUCAUGCUCGUCCGCCGGAUUCUCCUAUGCCAGGAGCGGGCAUUCAAUCUGUGGGACUUCAAUCCGGAACAGCACUAGGCGCUGAGCGGGCUCUUCAACACGACGUACGAAGGCGCCUGGAGGGUGCCGUUUAAGGGUGCCGAAGCCCCCGCAUCCGCGACUGAAGAUCGCGGAUUUCGCUCGCAUCGCCAAGCUGACGAGGUAAGUGAUUCUACCCCUUUACGGGACACUUGCUUUUCAUAGUUUGACUCUAUGCGGGUUUUAAUUUCCCCUUUUCCUUUGACAGGACUGGAUGAGGAAGGCGGAGCAGAUUAUCUGCCAGCUCCUAUGCCAGAAAACCCAGUAGACGCCCAUCUAGCGAGGCUGCUGGUUCCGGCACCGCACGUGGUGCCGGAGAAGAAGGCCAAGAAGGAGGCCACGAGUGCUCGAAAGAGUUCCCGUUUUCAGGUGUCCGACGACUCCGGGGCGGACUCCUCCCCCGAAAAUGAGGAGGAGAAAGAGGACUCUCUCCCAGAGGAGGGAGAGAGGAAGAGGAAGGCUUCCCCAAUAGGGGAGGCCGAAGGGUCCAAGAGGGGAAGGACUAUUCCCCCGGACAGCUCCGCCAACAUCAACGUUGGCGAGGAAGAAUGGCCUUCAAGGGCCAGGCCUCCGGCGAGAUCGUAAGUAUCCGGAUUCCUGAAUGAUUUAUAAUUUCUUUUUCUGCGUCACAUAGUGUCAUUCUAAUGCCGCAUGCUGCCUGUAGUCCGGCCAAUGAUGAUCUCCCCGCUUCAUCGAGCGGGUCGUUGGCUCCGUCGGAUGUAGACUCCAUCCCGACCGCCUCCACCCCUCGCGACACCAAGGACGCCGAGGUGGGAUCCCAAGAAGGGACCCAUCAGGGGGAGGCUCCGAAGGCGCCACAAGGCGGCCUCCCGGACUUUGCGCCGGACUCCACAUCAGAACCCGCAGUGGUUCCGGAGUCCGGCCGGCGGCCCCUUCGCACGAAGGGCAAGACCGUGACACCGGCAGCUUCCGUCCAACCGGAGGCGCCGGACAAUUUGUUGGAGGCGCUGCAGAGCACUUCCAUCGAGGAAGAACACCACACUAUUAUGAGUGCGGUGAUUAAGAAGGUACAGCUUGCCAAGAGCGGGCUGACCGAAGCCUGCAGUAGCCUUCUAUCAGGCUUUGAGGUAAGAAGUUAAAAAUAUGCAAUGUAAUACCGCAUAGACAGUAGCCCCUGAUGCUCGGUUCGGUGUUCGGAAAGAAAAGCCGGACUGAGGAUCUGAAAAAAAAAGAUAUAUGCAGGGUUGCUAAGAAAUUAUGUCAAUAUGGGUUGCAGGCUGCACUGCUGACCUCUGCCGCACUGACUGCGGAGGUCGGUGCUUUGAAGCAGGAGCUCGAGCGGUCCGAGCAAGAGCUCGGCCGCGCCAAGAAGCAGCUCCAGGACAAAGAAGGUGAGUAACACCACUUUGAACUUGUACCUUANNNNNNNNNNNNNNNNNNNNNNNNNNNNNNNNNNNNNNNNNNNNNNNNNNNNNNNNNNNNNNNNNNNNNNNNNNNNNNNNNNNNNNNNNNNNNNNNNNNNAAAGAGGCAGGCAAGGAAUAUCCGGUUCAGCGACCGGUUUAUUAUAUCAGCGAGGUGCUUAUUGAAUCCAAGCAAAGGUAUCCGCAUUGGCAGAAGCUGGUCUAUGGAGUUUUUAUGGCCAGUCGGAAGUUGAAGCAGUAUUUUCAAGGGCACCCCAUCACAGUGGUCAGUUCAGCUCCCUUGGGUGAUAUUAUACAGGACCGGGAGGCGACUGGCCGGAUUGCCAAGUGGGCUAUAGAGCUUGGGCCACAUGGACUGAAGUACGUGCCUUGGACGGUCGUGAAGUCUCAAGCGCUUGUUGAUUUCAUCAAUGACUGGACGGAGUUACAAGCACCAGAGGAGAAGCCGAAUCACACAUAUUGGACUAUUCAUUUUGAUGGAUCCAGGCAAUUGGAAGGCUCGGGGGCUGGAGUCGUAUUAACUUCCCCACGAGGUGAUAAGUUUUGUUAUGUUCUCCGCUUAAUGUUCCCUUGUACUAAUAAUGUAGCUGAGUACGAAGCUUUGCUCCAUGGUCUCUGGAUGGCUAAAGAGAUGAAUUUAAGCCAGGUUAAGUGCUUUGGUGACUCGGACCUAGUGGCUCAACAGGUGUCUGGCACUUGGGAUUCUAAGGACCCGCUCAUGGCUGCAUAUCGUCGGGAAGUGGAUAAUAUUGCAGGUUGUUUCAAGGGUUAUCAAGUGGAUCAUGUGGACCGUCGGAAGAAUGAAGCGGCGGAUGCUUUAAGCCGGUUGGGCUCUCAGUGUAAACCGGUUCCGCCUAACGUCUUUUUGGACGUGUUGCACAACCCGUCAGUCAAACUCCCAGGUGAGGUGGAUUUGGCUAUCCCUGAUCCGGAGGCUCAAUUGGUGGCAGCCCUGCAUGUUAUUCCGGAUUGGACAGUUCCUUAUCUUGCGUACAUGAACCGGGGAGAGUUACCAGAGGAUGAGAUUCUGGCCAGGCAGAUAGUUCGGCGAUCCAAGUCUAUGACGAUUGUCAAUGGUGAAUUACAUCAUUGCAGUGUAUCAGGGGCGUUUCAACGUUGUGUUUCUCCUGAGGAAGGCUGUGAAAUCUUAAGAGAAAUCCAUGAAGGGGAUUGUGGACACCACGCCGGUUCAAAGUCUCUGGUGGCAAAGGCGUUUCGUCACGGGUUCUACUGGUUGACAGCGCAUGCUGAUGCGGAGGAAUUGGUUAAACGGUGUGAUGGAUGUCAGAAAUUUUCAAGGAGUGCUCAUGUGCCGGCUCAAGAAUUGAGGAUGAUCCCAAUAACAUGGCCGUUUGCAACUUGGGGGCUGGAUAUGGUUGGGCCUUUUAAAAGAUCCAAGGAUAAGAAAACUCACCUUUUGGUGGCAGUUGACAAAUUUACCAAGUGGGUUGAAGCGGAGCCUGUCAGCAAGUGUGAUGCAGCAACAGCGGUGCAGUUCAUCAAGAAGGUGAUUUUCCGGUUUGGUUUUCCACACAGUAUCAUUACUGACAAUGGUACCAAUUUAUGCAAGGGCGCUAUGAAGGAGUUCUGUGAACGUGAGCACAUCCGACUUGACGUGUCGUCAGUGGCACACCCCCAGUCCAAUGGAUAGGCAGAACAAGCUAAUCAGGAAAUCUUGCGAGGCAUCAAACCCCAGCUUUUGGUCCCAUUGCAAAGAACACCAGGAUGUUGGGUUGAAGAGCUACCAUCUGUAUUAUGGAGUAUCAAUACUACGCCAAACCGGUCCACAGGAUACACGCCAUUUUUCAUGGUCUAUGGAGCAGAGGCAGUUCUCCCUAGUGACAUCCGGCACGAUUCGCCUCGUGUGGCAGCUUAUGUUGAAGCAGACAAUGAGACAGCACGGCAAGACGCUUUGGACCUAUUGGACGAGGAGCGUGAUAUANNNNNNNNNNNNNNNNNNNNNNNNNNNNNNNNNNNNNNNNNNNNNNNNNNNNNNNNNNNNNNNNNNNNNNNNNNNNNNNNNNNNNNNNNNNNNNNNNNNNGUGGCAAAUUGUUUUUUCAGUACUCUGGCUUCUAUCGCGCUCAGGCGAGCCACUUUAAGCAGGAGAUCGAGAAACAUAUGGUUGCUGCUUUCUCUGUUUUAGAGCUUCAUCUCACAUCGACGGGGCAUGCUUUUGGAGCAUUAGUGUUUCAUCUUCUUGGAAUGAAUCGAAUCCGUACUGCUACGCGGAGGCUUAAGGUCGUCCUACAGAGAUCAGCGGUAAUUCUCAGCUCUGAUUAUAUAACCCAAUAAUACAUUGUGUAUUUGUGUGGUUAUUCAUAUAUGUUCAUUUUUUGUUUUAGUUGAAAGAAGUAUGCCUGCCAUACUGUCCUUGUGAGUCGAACUGGAGGUCCCAGACUAUAUCCUUGGAUGCUCUCAAAGAAGUGGAGUUCAAUGGAUUCGACGGAGCGGAUCAUGAGUUUGAUUUAUUGGAAUUGGUACUUGGAUGUGCACCAAUACUGAAAAGAAUGAUUGUCAAGCUAUCCGAGGAGACCUCGGCAAGUAAUGAUGGAUGCGCAAGGAUAGACAACAUCUUCAAGGCAUGGUCCUCUGUGGAAUGUGAUGUUUAUCACAGCUCUGGUGAGAUAUAUUUGGCAUGCAUUAUUAGUAUCUUGCUAAUGAAACACAGAUAUACUCCCCCGGUUUCCGAAAAGAAGGCUCAUAAAUUUUCUCCUAAGACAAACGGUGCAAAGUUUGACCAAGUUUGUAAAAAGGCCAUAGUGAUACUAAUUUUGUAUUGUAGUUGUUGAUAAGAAAAAUAACGUAUUUUUACUCAGGCUUCCUUACCUAAAUUGCUCUUUUGCAUUUCACAAUCUUCUUCACAACCAAACUGAAUUCAUCCGCCUUGGGGUUUGGUACAAAUUUUAGUUCGAUUUAAACUUUAUUCAGCAAUUAGUUUGUAUUCCUUUCUGCUGUCAGCGUGUAUUCCGUUUUAUUUCUGGUUUUGCAUCUGUAUUCAGUAGCAAAAAUACAGGUCCCAGUUCUCAAAAAUAAAAUAAAAUAAUAAUACAGUUUCCAGAUAACCUAAAGUUUGUUUUCCCAUCUAAGUUUUUCAUUGGCCUUCGGGUUUCUUUCUGCUCUCAUCAUAUUAUGUUUUAUUUGACAGCAUAUAAGAAUAAUACAGGGGGAGUCUCCCCUCUGUUCCCAUUCUUUUUGAUACUGACUUGAGCUUGUUUCUAUUUGUUUCCUCUUAAGGGUUAAUGCACAGCAGCCAAAAUUGCCCGUCAACAUGAUUCUCAUCCUUGGGUCUCUUGAUCCUGUGGUGCGCAUUGACAAGAUCAUCCUUAAGUCUUUGGAUUCAUGGUGCACAUUGACAAGGUCUCAGGACUUUGCUUGGUUGCUUCAACUGAUCAUCUGGCGUGUUCUUUUGCCGGUGUACUGUACUGGUUAUAUAUAAGGUGCUCAGUUGUAUCUAUUGUGGUUCCUAUGCUGUUUGACUAUUGAAUUAAUGCACUCUACCUAUGUUGUGAGUCAAUUACUCGAAGCCGACUAUCAUGUUAAGCCAAUGGUUUCAGUUCUCAUUUUGCGCUGUUUCAUUGUGACGAUGACAUUGCAUGUUUUCAGCGGUAGUAAAAUUAUCUGCAGUGAAUGCUCCCCUUACCGCUCUUAGUGCUUAUACAGCUGUGGUUGGAUGAACCAAACGGCUCUGUGAGAUAGCUCAGUAGCUUAAACUUGGAAUUAUCCUCUCUUUUCUAACUGCUGCACUACACCCUAUAUGAUGGAUUGAAGAUUCAUCUUUGUGUCACUUCUGUUUUAGCAGAAUCUGUGUCAUCUUGUGAACAUAUGCAAGGUGUAAGUUGAUU